rnacentral:rRNA from 1 species
AGCGAACGCUGGCGGCGUGCCUAACACAUGCAAGUCGAGCGGUAACAGGUGUAGCAAUACAUGCUGACGAGCGGCGAACGGGUGAGUAAUGCUUCGGAAUCUGCCCAUGUAGUGGGGAAUAACCAGCCGAAAGGUUGGCUAAUACCGCAUACGACCCUUGCCCACAAGGCAAAGGUGAAAGCAGGGGAUCGCAAGACCUUGCGCUAUUGGAUGAGCCGAAGUCGGAUUAGCUAGUUGGUAGGGUAACGGCCUACCAAGGCGACGAUCCGUAGCUGGUCUGAGAGGACGACCAGCCACACUGGGACUGAGACACGGCCCAGACUCCUACGGGAGGCAGCAGUGGGGAAUAUUGGACAAUGGGGCAACCCUGAUCCAGCGACGCCGCGUGUGUGAAGAAGGCCUGC